ACCAUGAUUUAGUGAAGUGAACAGCCUGAGGCUCUGAGCCUCUUGUGUCUGCACUCUGUUAUGUGAGAAAGAAAGAGAAGCUGGACUGGGUUCUUGAUAUGGUUAGGAACAAGAAUUUAAUAAUGCCUGUGGUUUGAAAGCAUCUUAACUGUGGGUCAAUCGACUAGCUCUUGACGCUGAAUCUGAGUUUACAGGUGCUGCCUUAGUACAACAUACUCCCAAGCCCCUGGCCACCAGUGAGGAUCCUUAUCCUCAUCUUGCCGCCUUCCUUCAGGGCACACUUGGAAUUCGCCCACAUCUUGAAGAUGAAGAGAGAACACAAAUGUGAACAAUGAACAAAAUAAUUUAUUAGAUUAUCUUGUCAUUGUUCUCUUAGAAAAUAAUGUUUCCUCUUUCCAAAAUGUGUGAAGGUUAUAUUUGGAACCACUCUUGUUUUGAUACUUUGGUUUAAAUAACUCAGUUUGGAGAUGUGCUGUUAUCUGAGGAGAAUAAUAUUUCCAUGGGAACCAAGAAUAACACAAUCAAAACAUAGCCAUUGAACAUAUCAAAAUUCUUUCGCCCAUAAUGAUAUUCAAAGAGAAAAAGCCAAAAAAAUUUAUUAUCAUCGAGGCAACUAGUAUUCACUCCUUAUUUUUGAAACCAUGUCAUUAAUGUGAAGUAUCCUUGAUGUCUGUCUAUUUGAACCCUAUAAUUCCAGCUGACAAAAUAAAGCUCUAUUUUAUGGAAGAAUGCCAGCUAGAUGUAGAAAGAUAGUAAAAUUAGAAGGAUGACAACUUAGAAAAUCAUAAUCUUCCAACUCCUCAUGACAAUGUAGAUCCAAGCUAGAGCUAUCAUCAUCUGUUAAGCUAUUGGGUGAUUCUUUGAUGGGACCUGGAUGGCCACUUGGAACCAAAGUAACACCCCAACAGCAGGAGAAAACACAACAAAUGGAUCAGAGUACCACCACUCUAACCUACUGUUCGGUCUUCCAUCAGACAUGGCGACACAUGCAGAUGCAAGGGCCGCCAAGCCCACUGUGGUGCCAAGUGACCUGGAUCAGCAGGAAGAAGCACAGCCCUUCUUCAGGCCGCCUUUGCUUAGGUUUGAGAAGAGAAAGGAACUUCAUCAAGAGUCUCACUAAUGAUAGGAUAUUCAGCGACAAAUUGAAAGAUAGACGGAGAGCUGUAUGCAUGGACAAGGAAAGACCCUCGGGCUUCCCUGUGCAGUGCGUGAAGUCAGAACAGAGCACCAGGCAUCACAGAACCCACUCACACACACAUACAGCGAAGACAAGACUGGAUGAACACACGUCACUCUUUUAAUGAGUAAUAUGUAGGAGUAAGUAGCAGCAGAUAUUUGUUUAUUUCUCGUGUUGGUUUUUAGAACAGAGGAAAGAUGAACUCAUACCCUCCUGGUAGAAAUGAGACAGCCACUUGAAAGCAGGUAGGCAUUUCGUCAAAAGUUAAACAUAGAGUUACUGUGUGACCAGCCAUCCUACUGCAGGGUGUUUACCCAAGAGGAAAGGAAAUAGAUGUAUGCACAAAGGCACAAAUGUUUCUAGAAGCACGAUGUGUAAUUGUUCUGAACUGGAAGAGACCAAAAUGCUCACCAGCCUGGGAAUGGACAACAUCCGGGUGGACGGUCCUGUCAUUGAAUCCUCUUCAGCGGCGUUGGUACCCUAUGGGGACGAAACUCAAAAUAAAGGUGCUGAGUGACAGGCCAGACCAAAAAAAGGAUAUACUGUGUAUUUCCAUUUGGUAUAAACUUCUAGAAAUGUAAAGGAAUCUACAGAAGGCAGAUUGGUGAUUAAAUGAAGAGUGGGAGGGGGAAAUGUGGCCUGAGGAAACUUCUGGGGGUGAUGGAUAGGCU